UCGCCCCGCUCAAAUUAACUCAACAUGUCUCUUGACUCAUGAUUGUUUCAUUGGCUCCUCCAGUAUGUAGCAGCAAGGUGGAUUAUGCCUGUGAAGUGUUGCUGCAGACAUCAGUCUAAAGUGACGUGAGGAAGCUUGCAGAGUUCCCCAGGGUGAUCUGUUUAUUUCACCAGCUGAAAGGCUUCAUGAUGGCAAGAGCUGCUCUACCAAUGGAUGUUCUUUAAUGAGAGAGAAAGAGAGAGAGAUAGACAGAUGGAUGGACAAAGAAAAAGAGAGAGAGAGAAAGUGAAAACCACCUUCAUGAAUGUUUCAUGUGCGCUGGGCAACAAGAUGCAGAGAGAGAGGAAAGAGGAAAGACAACAGGCAAGCCACAGUGAUGCAACAAGGAGUCAAACAUAAUGAAGGAGGCAGUUUUUUUACAGUACAAAUCAGAGAGAGAGAGAUUUUGUAAUAUUCAUUGAUUUGGUUUAAUCUCACUUACUAAUCUAAUUACAUGUAUUUAUUAUGUUUUUAUGAGAACACAUGUUAUUUUGUUAUCAAAAUGCCACCUUGUUACCUGUGUUAUAUUUACUUUUCAUGUCUGGAUAUGAACCGGUGAACACAGCCAUUAGAAGUGGGCCCGCUAAUGAAUGACUCUCACUUUCAUUGCUAAUGGUGACACAUUUAUAAUGGUUGAGGGAGUGAGGUAGGCCAUCAAAGGCUCUUGAGUUCCAAUGGCGUUUCAACAGAUCAAACCUACUUUACUGAACUACCCGCCCAGAAUUGAGCCUCUCUGCCGCUUUGGCAUUCAAAAACCCUUGCAGGUUUGUGUUCAAAUGUAAAUGCUUUUAGUACAUUUCAAAGACUGAUGCACAUUUUGUUCUGUUUUGUUUCUAUGAACCUACUACUACAGCUGAUUUUAUGAUGUUUAUUUUUUUUUAGGAAGGAGCCCAGUUUGAACAAAAACACAUUUAUAGUAAACUUAACUCUAUAAGUAAACUCUAAUGCAUAUUUUGCCUGUUUUGGGUUGUAAACAUAUUUUAUCUGUGUUGUGUAGGUUUCAUAAUGUGAUUUGUCAUUGUUAACCUGGGAAAAUAGUGUUCUAAUUUAAAAGCACUGUUGGCAUGCACUUUGUAUUCACAUGCCAUCUUGGUAUUCUGUCCAUGGUCUGUAUAAUCCGGUACUUUGAUGUCAGCUAUUACAACACUGUUUUAUAAUGCCAAGGUACGUAUAGCUGUAGAAAGUAUGGCAUUACACUGUACCUCCAGCAUCAUUAUGUCUGACAUUAAACUGGGCUUGUACAUUUAAAAUGGAAAUGGGUGAAAAUGGCUUUUUAAAUGUAAAAUAAGGCCAACACAAACUAGACACACCAUAUAAUAUACCAUGGUAAAAUGCCACGUAAUAUGACAUCACAUCAAGU
rnacentral:lncRNA from 1 species